rnacentral:rRNA from 1 species
UAGGCAUGCAGUCGAGCGAGAAGUCUUAGUUUGACACUUCGGUUGAAGACUAGGAUGGACAGCGGCGCAUGGGAGAGUAACGCGUAGUUAUCUGCCCCGAGGUCCGGAAUAGCUGUGGGAAACUGCAGGUAAUGCCGGAUAAUAUCCCCGGAUCAAAGGUGUGAUUCCGCCUUGGGAGGAGACUGCGUUGUACUAGCUUGUUGGUGGGGUAAUGGCCCACCAAGGCUACGAUGCAUAGCGGGCGUGAGAGCGUGGCCCGUCUCACUGGGACUGAAACACUGCCCAGACACCUACGGGUGGCUGCAGUCGAGAAUCUUCGGCAAUGGGCGAAAGCCUGACCGAGCGAUGCCGCGUGCGGGAUGAAGGCCUUCGGGUUGUAAACCGCUGUCAGUAGGGAGGAAAUCACCAGGGGCUAUCCCCUAGUGUUGACCUAUCUUCAGAGGAAGUACGGGCUAAGUUCGUGCCAGCAGCCGCGGUAAUACGAACCGUACAAACGUUAUUCGGAAUUAUUGGGCUUAAAGGGUGCGUAGGCGGCGCAGUCAGUGAGGUGUGAAAUCCCUCGGCUCAACCGAGGAAUUGCGCUUCAUACUGCUGUGCUCGAGGGAGACAGGGGUAAGCGGAACUGAUGGUGGAGCGGUGAAAUGCGUUGAUAUUAUCAGGAACACCAGUGGCGAAAGCGGCUUACUGGGUCUCUUCUGACGCUGAGGCACGAAAGCUAGGGUAGCGAACGGGAUUAGAUACCCCGGUAGUCCUAGCUGUAAACGAUGAGCACUUGGCCGGGGAUCCCCCCAUA